UUCUAUCACUGUGUUUGUGCUGAGGCAACACUUCCUGUGAGCUGCUCCCUGCCAGCGACACAGCCACUGCUGCAAGACCCAGGAUUCCUCCAACAGAUUUUGACUUAUGGAUCUUCCACUGGCCUGGCUGACUCUUGGAACUACAUUGAAGUCCAGCACUCUUCCCACCCACUCCUCUUCCCUGCCCCUCUCCUCUGCAGCUGUCGGACCUGGACUGUGGUCUGAAAGCUCUCCUUGCCUCCCCUGGCAUCCUCCUGCUAACCCUUCACAGGCGUGUUUCCUCCUGUAAAUCUCUGGCUUGUCUAAUCUCAUCCUGGCAUCUGUGCUCAGAAGACAUGAACCAACACAGGGUUGACAAGCCAUCUUUGGAAGGACACGUGGAACAGCCAGAUUGAUGGCAGACAAAACACUGGGAAGCACUUUGAUGGAGGAUGAAGAGACUGAGGAGGGGAUGCAAAGUCAUGAGGAUAAUGAGAUGGCAGAGCCAAAGAUGGGAGCAGUAACCUUCUACAAAGAUGUAUGCCCGCUGCAUAUAUCCCCUUCUCCACAAUCACAGCUACCCUGGCCUCCCUGUACCUCUUUGGGACAGUCCCCAGAGCGCUCUGAGAGAUGGUCUUUAAGGUUAAAUCCUCAGAUGUUGAUUCAAGAGCACCCUCCAAGAAACCUGACCUCCACUGCGGUCUGCCUCCUAGGAAACCUAGCAUGUGAUGGUUGGUGGCAAGAGUGGCACGAGAAAGCAGAUGCUAAAGCUGGGUCACCCACCAGCUGGCUGGAAAUAAGGAGCAUAUGAAGUUGGCUCCAAAGACUGAUGCCCACCAGGCUGGAGGGAGCUGCCUUACCCAAAGCCAUUCCUGCUUCCCUGGGCCGGCCCAGCUUCAGAGCUCCUCCUGGAUUCCAUGCAGUCCAACCUCCCCUGCACCCCCUCCUGCUGCCAUUGGUCCCCCUCAGAUGCUGAUCCUGAGGUAUCAAGCGGUAGAAAAACCUACUGAAUUCAAAUUUCCAUCUCUUUCACUCUCUC